rnacentral:tRNA from 1 species
GUCAGUCUGGGUGGGAGCGGUUCCGGUACACAAAAACCAUUGCCCGGUGGAGGCAAUGGUGGGGGUUCUAAUCCUUCGACCGGCG